UUCGAACCUAUGUUGCGUGAGGGGGGCUAAGUCGUAACAAGGUAUCCGUAGGGGAACCUGCGGAUAGAUCACCUCCA
rnacentral:rRNA from 1 species